UUUCACCAUGUAGAAAUUACAGCUGUGUUUCUAAAGAUGGCUGCAAUACAGGCCUGGCAGAGUAUCACUAGAGAAGACACCUAGCAACUGUUGAUGUCCAUGAAUCGCAAACUACAAACAGUCAUUGCAUGCAAAGGAUAUGCAACAAAAUACUAAAUAUGACUACUUUCAUUUAGAUGACUUUGCUGUGUCCCAAACAUUAUGGUGCCCUGAA